rnacentral:lncRNA from 1 species
UGCUUCUGAUUUUGCUGAGAAAAUUUAUUCUUGGAUACAUUGAAUGGGACCCUUCGUUAAUUGAUCACCUUUCGUUUGCUCUAAGUAUUUCUGGGGAAUUCAUGACUCUAGCUCAGCAGGUUGAGGAAUUGCUUCCUGAAAACAUGGACAGAAAAGAAAGAUUCUAUACUUUAGCUCUUUGUUACUGUGGAGAAGGUGAACAUACGACUGCUUUGGAUCUUCUAAGGAACUCUCUGAAUCACAGAGAGAACUCAGACUGCAUAAAGGAGCUACUUCUAGCUUCAAAAAUUUGUGCAGACAAGAAGAUUUACACUGAAGAAGGAAUCAGAUAUUCUUUCAAAGCCAUUUCUCAGCUGAAUGGAAAGUGCAUGCAGAUGGCAGCUAUUGUAAAUUGCUUUCUAGGCGUUCUACUGUCAUCAAAAUCCAGGUCAGCCGCUUCUGAAUCAGAG